GUGCAGCAGGCGAGAAACCUCCGCAAUGCGCGAAAGCGCGACGGGUUACCCCGAGUGCCGUCCGCUGAGGACGGCUUUUGCCCAGCGUAGCCAGCUGGGCGAAUAAGGAGAGGGCAAGUCUGGUGUCAGCCGCCGCGGUAAUACCAGCUCUCCGAGUGGUGGGGACGCUUAUUGGGCCUAAAGCAUCCGUAGCCGGUCUGGCAAGUCCCUUGUUAAAUCCAACGAUUCAAUCGUUGGACUGGCAAGGGAUACUGCCAGGACUAGGGGGCGGGAGAGGCCGACGGUAUUCCCGGGGUAGGGUGAAAUCCUAUAAUCCCGGGAGGACCACCAGUGGCGAAGGCUGUCGGCUAGAACGCGCCCGACGGUGAGGGAUGAAA
rnacentral:rRNA from 1 species